rnacentral:rRNA from 1 species
AAACAUCGAUUGUAUUAUACAUUUUACAUCCGCCCGGGAAUUAUGAACACUAGUUUAAAACCCAAAGGACUUGGCGGUGCUUAACAUCCACCUAGAGGAGCCUGUUCUAGAACCGAUAACCCCCGUUAAACCUCACCCUCCCUUGCCUUACCCGCCUAUAUACCACCGUCGUCAGCCUACCCUGUGAAGGAUCAAUAGCAAGCACAAUUGGCAAAGCCCAAAACGUCAGGUCGAGGUGUAGUGAAUGAGAGGGGAAGAAAUGGGCUACAUUUGCUAGAUAUAGCAAAUACGAAUGAUGCAUUGAAACAUGCAACUGAAGGAGGAUUUAGUAGUAAGCAGGAAAUAGAGCGUUCC